AUUGAACGCUGGCGGCAUGCUUUACACAUGCAAGUCGAACGGCAGCGGGGAGGAGCUUGCUUCUCUGCCGGCGAGUGGCGAACGGGUGAGUAAUACAUCGGAACGUGUCGAGAAGAGGGGGAUAACCACCCGAAAGGGUGGCUAAUACCGCAUAAAUUCUGAGGAAGAAAGCUGGGGACCUAGGAAUAGGCCUAGCGCUUUUUGAGCGGCCGAUGUCGGAUUAGCUAGUUGGUGAGGUAAAGGCUCACCAAGGCGAAGAUCUGUAGCGGGUCUGAGAGGAUGAUCCGCCACACUGGGACUGAGACACGGCCCAGACUCCUACGGGAGGCAGCAGUGGGGAAUUUUGGACAAUGGGGGCAACCCUGAUCCAGCCAUGCCGCGUGUAUGAAGAAGGCCUUAGGGUUGUAAAGUUCUUUUGUUAGGGAAGAAAAGUCAGCUGUGAAUAAUGGCUGAUACUGACGGUACCUAAAGAAUAAGCACCGGCUAACUACGUG
rnacentral:rRNA from 1 species